rnacentral:rRNA from 1 species
GAAUUGAAGAGUUUGAUCAUGGCUCAGAUUGAACGCUGGCGGCAGGCUUAACACAUGCAAGUCGAAC